GAUCACUCGCUGUUGGCAAUAUAGAGUCAGCGGCUGAGCUGAAAGCAUUAAGUGAUCCACCUGGGGGAGUACGUCGGCAACGAUGAAACUCAAAGGAAUUGACGGGGGCCCGCACAAUCGGUGGAACAUGUGGUUUAAUUCGAUGAUACGCGAGGAACCUUACCUGGGCUUAAAUGUAGCCGGACGAUUCCGGAAACGGGAUUUCCUUAACGGCUGGUUACAAGUUGCUGCAUGGCUGUCGUCAGCUCGUGCCGUGAGGUGUCGGGUUAAGUCCCAUAACGAGCGCAACCCUUAUUCUUAGUUGCCAGCGGGUAGAGCCGGGGACUCUAAGGAGACUGCCACCUCUCAGGUGUGCGGAAGGUGGGGAUGACGUCAAGUCAGCACGGCCAUUACGUCCAGGGCUACACACGUGUUACAAUGGCCGGUACAGAAGGCAGCAAACUUGAGAGAGGGCGCGAAUCCAUGAAAGCCGGUCUCAGUUCGGAUUGGAGUCUGCAACCCGACUUCAUGAAGUUGGAU
rnacentral:rRNA from 1 species